UUUCCCCAAAAUUUGUCAUUCCCUCUUUAAAGUUUGCUGUCAUCUACUCUCCUUUGCCUCAAAAAAAAAUUUCCCAAAAUUAUUCAUUCCCUCCCUUUGUUUCAUCUGAUUGAUUGGCCCAAACCUAGUUCAAAUUCUUCAGCUCAUGCAAAUUUCAGCUUCAUCUACAGAUGUAUGUGAUAUUCUUCAAUCUGUCUUCCAGGUAUGCCCAUUCCAAGAUUAUAUCAAAUAUUAAAGUUUGUAGUUUAUUCCAUUUAUAUAUGUCAUUGUCCAUAGGGUUAGCAAUUAAAUUCCUCCUCCUCUUGGUAUUUGCGUUCAAUAUUGAUUUUGACAAAGGGUUUUCCAUGGAAUUCUUAUGUGGUCUGUCGUUGGAUGAAAACCAGCCAAUUUCAAAGCGAUUUAGAGCUCAAGCUACAUAUAGUUUGGGUUGGAUGCAAAAACAUAUUUAAAUUGUUAAUCAUCUAAUCAUGCUCAAGGAUAAGGAAUUUAAAUUAGAUUCUAUUUUGCUUUAAGUGUUUUUUGGUACAAGCAGUCGGAUUAGUUUUUCUUGCAUUUGUAUCACUUGUACUAUGAGGUUUAUGUUGGUCAAUAUUAACAUCUUGUUAGGUGGUGAAUGACUGAAUGUUAGCGAGAAAUUCUUUGUCAAUGGCGUUGAAUAUUGAAGAAUAGUUAAUGAUUAGUCAAUACGGGGUUGUAGAAAGAGUUUUGAAUAGCAGAGCUUCCUACAAUUCAAAUUGCAGCAAGGAUGAGAUGGGGACUGGUGCAUCCAAACUUUAAAAUGCAUGUUACUGAAUGAUUUCAUAUAUAGUCAAGAUUUACACAAGACUCAAUAUUUUUUACCAUGUCAACUACCUUCCAAUGUAUGCAACACAAAGAAAGAGUUAGAAGCAAAAUGUGCUACUCGAAAGGUAGAAUAUGCAGCUCGACUGAAGAUGGAGCAAAUGAUAUAAAACAAGCCGAAGGUAGUUGAGCAACAAUUCAAUUAUACGUUGUGAGAACUAGCAGCAUAUCUAUUACACGAGGAUUAAGAGUUUUGUUUUUUUUAGAUGCGUAGUAAUAGAUAUAGAUCAUUUUUUCUACUGUUUUUAAGUUUAGAUGUAACCAUACUUAGGGAAUAACGUUUAUUUCAGUUUUGGUGUAAUAUAUUUGGAUUCAA